rnacentral:rRNA from 1 species
UACGUAGGGGGCUAGCGUUGUCCGGAAUCAUUGGGCGUAAAGAGCGUGUAGGCGGCCCGGUAAGUCCGCUGUGAAAGUCGGGGGCUCAACCCUCGAAUGCCGGUGGAUACUGUCGGGCUAGAGUGCGGAAGAGGCAAGUGGAAUUCCCGGUGUAGCGGUGAAAUGCGCAGAUAUCGGGAGGAACACCAAUUGCGAAGGCAGCUGCUGGGACGGUACUGACGCUGAGGCGCGAAGCGUGGGGAGCAAACAGG